rnacentral:rRNA from 1 species
UAGGGAAUCUUCCGCAAUGGGCGAAAGCCUGACGGAGCAACGCCGCGUGAGUGAUGAAGGGUUUCGGCUCGUAAAACUCUGUUAUUAGGGAAGAACAAAUGUGUAAGUAACUGUGCACAUCUUGACGGUACCUAAUCAGAAAGCCACGGCUAACUACGUGCCAGCAGCCGCGGUAAUACGUAGGUGGCAAGCGUUAUCCGGAAUUAUUGGGCGUAAAGCGCGCGUAGUCGGUUUCUUAAGUCUGAUGUGAAAUCCCACGGCUCAACCGUGGAGGGUCAUUGGAAACUGGGAAACUUGAGUGCAGAAGAGGAAAGUGGAAUUCCAUGUGUAGCGGUGAAAUGCGCAGAGAUAUGGAGGAACACCAGUGGCGAAGGCGACUUUCUGGUCUGUAACUGACGCUGAUGUGCGAAAGCGUGGGGAUCAAACAGG